rnacentral:sRNA from 1 species
CACCGCACCUGGCCUGUUCCUCCAUUCUUUGUGCAUUACUUGCUGUGAUCACACUCAUCUAGGUGGUGGACAUAAUGCGAGUUAACGUGGACAAGGUUCUGGAAAGAGACCAGAAGCUCUCUGAGUUAGACGACCGUGCAGACGCACUGCAGGCAGGCGCUUCUCAAUUUGAAACGAGUGCAGCCAAGUUGAAGAGGAAAUAUUGGUGGAAGAAUUGCAAGAUGUGGGCAAUCGGGAUUACUGUUCUGGUUAUCUUCAUCAUCAUCAUCAUCG